rnacentral:tRNA from 1 species
GCGGAUGUAGCUCAGCUGGAUAGAGUACCUGGCUACGAACCAGGCGGUCGGAGGUUCGCCUCCUCCCAUCCGCACCA